rnacentral:rRNA from 1 species
AAAGAGGUGAGUAACGCGUGGGUAACCUGCCUCAUACACAUGGAUAACAUACCGAAAGGUAUGCUAAUACAGGAUAAUAUAAGAGAUUCACAUGGAUUUCUUAUCAAAGCUCCGGCGGUAUGAGAUGGACCCGCGUCUGAUUAGCUAGUUGGUAAGGUAAUGGCUUACCAAGGCGACGAUCAGUAGCCGACCUGAGAGGGUGAUCGGCCACAUUGGAACUGAGACACGGUCCAAACUCCUACGGGAGGCAGCAGUGGGGAAUAUUGCACAAUGGGCGAAAGCCUGAUGCAGCAACGCCGCGUGAGUGAUGAAGGCCUUCGGGUCGUAAAACUCUGUCCUCAAGGAAGAUAAUGACGGUACUUGAGGAGGAAGCCCCGGCUAACUACGUGCCAGCAGCCGCGGUAAUACGUAGGGGGCUAGCGUUAUCCGGAUUUACUGGGCGUAAAGGGUGCGUAGGUGGUUUUUUAAGUCAGGAGUGAAAGGCUACGGCUCAACCGUAGUAAGCUCUUGAAACUGGAAAACUUGAGUGCAGGAGAGGAAAGUGGAAUUCCUAGUGUAGCGGUGAAAUGCGUAGAUAUUAGGAGGAACACCAGUAGCGAAGGCGGCUUUCUGGACUGUAACUGACACUGAGGCACGAAAGCGUGGGGAGCAAACAGGAUUAGAUACCCUGGUAGUCCACGCCGUAAACGAUGAGUACUAUGUGUCGGGGGUUACCCCCCUCGGUGCCGCAGCUAACGCAUUAAGUACUCCGCCUGGGGAGUACGCUCGCAAGAGUGAAACUCAAAGGAAUUGACGG